GUCCACGCCGUAAACGAUGAUCACUAGAUGUGGGAUUUCUUUAUGGAAUUCUGUGUCGUAGCUAACGCGUUAAGUGAUCCGCCUGAGGAUUAUGGUCGCAAGAUUAAAACUCAAAGAAAUUGACGGGGGUCCGCACAAGCGGUGGAACAUGUGGUUUAAUUCGACACUACGCGAGAAACCUUACCCAGGCUUGACAUGUAACUGCUAUCGGGUGAAAGCUCGAGUUCCAAGUUUACUUGGACGGUUACACAGGUGCUGCAUGGCUGUCGU
rnacentral:rRNA from 1 species